rnacentral:lncRNA from 10 species
GAGGAACAUCUGGACGAGCAAAGGCCACCAGGAGCAUGAACAAACAAAAAAAAGCCGGAUUUGGACAAAUAAAAAGAAGUGCAUGUCAGCCCGAGUGUCCUGAAACAUGUUCCUGUAUUAGAAUCUCCAGGAAAGCUGGGGCCCCCACUCGCCACUACCUCAGGCUGGGCCCGCAGUCACGUGCUUCUCCCUACAGGAGGGUUCUGUGUCCUGAAUUCCCAAAGGGUGCAGCUGUCCCCUUGUCGCCUUGUCUGUGUUGAUGGUUCCACACUCUCUGGUCAGCCACCUGCCCCGCCAGUCUCUGCUCGCCCAUGGAUGGGGAUGACCACUCUAGCUGUGAGGGUGGCUUCCCGGGCUAACCCUGCUGCUGCUGCCCAUUGCUUCCAAGGCUGGGAUAUCACUUGGGGUUUGGGGUGAGGGGACAGUAAGGGGGAGCCCUGGUUGCCCUUUCCAGGAGAAUGAGUAUUUAAGUGCGGAGUUGUUUAUUACUUGACUUCAGCAGAGGCGCCAUGGUCGGGGAAACGCUUCAUGUGCCUUGGGUUAUAGGGCAAGUCCCAUCUGUCUGCCUUGAAUUUCGGUUUGGAGAAUCUGUAAGCUCCACACACGUGGAAGCGUCUGUGCCCCGGGUGUGGGUUCUGAUCUUGGUUGUGUUCGUGGCUGGACGCUGUCCUUGAGGCCACCCCUUGGCACCCUUCACAGAAGACAGUGGGGGUCGCCCUUCCCUGGCUGACCCUCCAGAACCGCCAGCCUCCCCUACCUCCCUGUGAAACCAGGGUACAGGGCAGGAGCCUGGACCUCUUUACAGUUGCCUUUUCUCUCUCUCUGUCCCUUCUCCAUCUUCCGAGCUCCUACUCGCCCUUCAGGACCCAGCUCGAAUGCCCCAUCUCUGGGAGGCGCCUUCAAUCUUGGGCUGCCCCUUCCGUCACACCCCCUGUCCCCUGUCUCCUGCCUCCCCUUCCUCCUCACACAAAGCCACCCCCGCCUGUUGGUGGCCUGUGUCUCCGCUGGCCCAGGGCUCUCUUGCCGUGGCCACCGUGGGUUUUGGCCUCGUGACCCAGUCCAUGCGUGCACAGCGCAAGUAGCUUCCCAGGACACCGAUUUCCUCCCCGGCCGCAGCUGCUUCUGGUCCUCUGCCCACUCCCGGGUUCUGCGCCUUCCUGCGCCCCCGGCCUGGCCACAGCUCGGUCACCCCAGAACCACCGUGUGCUGGGGAUUUGUCACGGGUUUGUCCUGACGUGUGAGGUCCAGCCGGGGUCCCCAUAGCCUCCCUGUCCCCGUCCCUGUCCCCG